AGCCCCACGAACUUUCAUAUGUGGGGUGCAGCCUGCCCAGUGGAAUUUAUUCUAAACGGCCGCGGUAUUUUGACCGUGCAAAGGUAGCAUAAUCACUUGUCUCUUAAAUGGGGACCUGUAUGAAUGGCUUUUCACUCUUUCACUGUCUCUCUUCCCUCCCUCCUAAUCUUCUAAUCACGUGAAGAAGCGUGAACAAAAAAGAAAGACGAGAAGACCCUGUCGAGCUUAAGCUAACCCUGAAAUGUCAUCUACCUUUUAUUUCUUUGAAAAAGGUAAAUUUUAGAUAAAGCUUUGGUUGGGGCAACCGUGGAGAAAAAGAAUCCUCCAGUUAAUUAGGAAGAAAACAUUUCACCUAAAAAAUUUAGCGACCCAGUUAUUCUGGAAAACGGAAAAAGUUACCGCAGGGAUAACAGCGUUAUCUUCUCUAAGAGCCCAUAUUGACGAGAAGGAUUGCGACCUCGAUGUUGGAUUGGGGUAACCAAAGGGUGUAGCAGCUCUUUAAGGUUGGACUGUUCGUCCAUUAAUUCCCUACA
rnacentral:rRNA from 1 species